rnacentral:rRNA from 1 species
AUACGUAGGGGGCGAGCGUUGUCCGGAAUGAUUGGGCGUAAAGGGCGCGUAGGCGGCCCGGUAAGUCUGGAGUGAAAGUCCUGCUUUUAAGGUGGGAAUUGCUUUGGAUACUGUCGGGCUUGAGUGCAGGAGAGGUAAGUGGAAUUCCCAGUGUAGCGGUGAAAUGCGUAGAGAUUGGGAGGAACACCAGUGGCGAAGGCGACUUACUGGACUGUAACUGACGCUGAGGCGCGAAAGUGUGGGGAGCAAACAGGAUUAGAUACCCUGGUAGUCCACACUGUAAACGAUGAAUGCUAGGUGUAGGGGGUAUCGACCCCUUCUGUGCCGCGGUUAACACAAUAAGCAUUCCGCCUGGGGAGUACGGCCGCAAGGUUGAAACUCAAAUGAAUUGACGGGG